UACGUAGGUGACAAGCGUUGUCCGGAUUUACUGGGCGUAAAGAGCGCGCAGGCGGUCGAUCAAGUCGAGUGUGAAAGCCCCCGGCUCAACUGGGGAGGGUCAUUCGAUACUGAUCGACUCGAAGGCAGGAGAGGGUAGUGGAAUUCCCGGUGUAGUGGUGAAAUGCGUAGAUAUCGGGAGGAACACCAGUGGCGAAGGCGGCUCACUGGCCCGAUACUGACGCUGAGGUGCGAAAGCGUGGGGAGCAAACAGG
rnacentral:rRNA from 1 species